UACGUAGGGGGCAAGCGUUGUCCGGAUUUAUUGGGCGUAAAGAGCGUGUAGGCGGUUUGUCGCGUCUGCUGUGAAAAUCCGGGGCUCAACCCCGGACUUGCAGUGGGUACGGGCAGACUAGAGUGUGGUAGGGGAGACUGGAAUUCCUGGUGUAGCGGUGAAAUGCGCAGAUAUCAGGAGGAACACCGAUGGCGAAGGCAGGUCUCUGGGCCACUACUGACGCUGAGACGCGAAAGCGUGGGGAGCAAACAGG
rnacentral:rRNA from 1 species